rnacentral:snRNA from 1 species
CAUCUCUGGCUCCAAUGCAUUUAACCGAGAAAGUCUUUCGCCUUUUACUAAAGAUUUCCGUGCAUUAGAGCAGUUAUGACUAUUUUCCAAUUUUUUUAAUACUCAAAGAGUU